GCCUGGCUGGCUUAGUCAGAGCAUGAGACUCUUGAUCUCAGGGUUGUGAGUUCGAGCCCCAUGUUGGAUA
rnacentral:tRNA from 1 species